GAUAAGAGCUUGCUCUUAUGAAGUUAGCGGCGGACGGGUGAGUAACACGUGGGUAACCUGCCCAUAAGACUGGGAUAACUCCGGGAAACCGGGGCUAAUACCGGAUAACAUUUUGAACCGCAUGGUUCGAAAUUGAAAGGCGGCUUCGGCUGUCACUUAUGGAUGGACCCGCGUCGCAUUAGCUAGUUGGUGAGGUAACGGCUCACCAAGGCAACGAUGCGUAGCCGACCUGAGAGGGUGAUCGGCCACACUGGGACUGAGACACGGCCCAGACUCCUACGGGAGGCAGCAGUAGGGAAUCUUCCGCAAUGGACGAAAGUCUGACGGAGCAACGCCGCGUGAGUGAUGAAGGCUUUCGGGUCGUAAAACUCUGUUGUUAGGGAAGAACAAGUGCUAGUUGAAUAAGCUGGCACCUUGACGGUACCUAACCAGAAAGCCACGGCUAACUACGUGCCAGCAGCCGCGGUAAUACGUAGGUGGCAAGCGUUAUCCGGAAUUAUUGGGCGUAAAGCGCGCGCAGGUGGUUUCUUAAGUCUGAUGUGAAAGCCCACGGCUCAACCGUGGAGGGUCAUUGGAAACUGGGAGACUUGAGUGCAGAAGAGGAAAGUGGAAUUCCAUGUGUAGCGGUGAAAUGCGUAGAGAUAUGGAGGAACACCAGUGGCGAAGGCGACUUUCUGGUCUGUAACUGACACUGAGGCGCGAAAGCGUGGGGAGCAACAGGAUUAGAUACCCUGGUAGUCCACGCCGUAAACGAUGAGUGCUAACUGUUAGAGGGUCUCCGCCCUUUAGUGCUGAAGUUAACGCAUUAAGCACUCCGCCUGGGGAGUACGGCCGCAAGGCUGAAACUCAAAGGAAUUGACGGGGGGCCCGCACAAGCGGUG
rnacentral:rRNA from 2 species